GCGCAGCAGGCGCGAAACUUUACAAUGUGCGAAAGCACGAUAAGGGAACUCUGAGUGCCUCCUAAGGAGGCUGUUCAGGUGUCUAAAAGCACCUGAAGGAAGGGCUGGGUAAGACCGGUGCCAGCCGCCGCGGUAACACCGGCAGCCCAAGUGGUAGCCACGUUUAUUGGGUCUAAAGCGUCCGUAGCCGGCUGGGUAAGUUCCUUGGGAAAUUUGGCUGCUUAACAGUCAAGCUUUCAGGGAAUACUGCCCGGCUUGGGGACCGGGAGAGGUCAGAGGUACUCCAGGGGUAGGGGUGAAAUCCAUUAAUCCUUGGGGGACCACCGGUAGCGAAGGCGUCUGACCAGACCGGGUCCGACGGUGAGGGACGAAGGCUAGGGGCGCGAACCGGAUUAGAUACCCGUGUAGU
rnacentral:rRNA from 1 species